UACACAUGCAAGUCGAACGAUGAACCACCUUCGGGUGGGGAUUAGUGGCGAACGGGUGAGUAACACGUGGGCAAUCUGCCCUGCACUCUGGGACAAGCCCUGGAAACGGGGUCUAAUACCGGAUACUGAACCGCUUGGGCAUCCAGGCGGUUCGAAAGCUCCGGCGGUGCAGGAUGAGCCCGCGGCCUAUCAGCUUGUUGGUGAGGUAACGGCUCACCAAGGCGACGACGGGUAGCCGGCCUGAGAGGGCGACCGGCCACACUGGGACUGAGACACGGCCCAGACUCCUACGGGAGGCAGCAGUGGGGAAUAUUGCACAAUGGGCGCAAGCCUGAUGCAGCGACGCCGCGUGAGGGAUGACGGCCUUCGGGUUGUAAACCUCUUUCAGCAGGGAAGAAGCGAAAGUGACGGUACCUGCAGAAGAAGCGCCGGCUAACUACGUGCCAGCAGCCGCGGUAAUACGUAGGGCGCGAGCGUUGUCCGGAAUUAUUGGGCGUAAAGAGCUCGUAGGCGGCUUGUCGCGUCGGUUGUGAAAGCCCGGGGCUUAACCCCGGGUCUGCAGUCGAUACGGGCAGGCUAGAGUUCGGUAGGGGAGAUCGGAAUUCCUGGUGUAGCGGUGAAAUGCGCAGAUAUCAGGAGGAACACCGGUGGCGAAGGCGGAUCUCUGGGCCGAUACUGACGCUGAGGAGCGAAAGCGUGGGGAGCGAACAGGAUUAGAUACCCUGGUAGUCCACGCCGUAAACGGUGGGCACUAGGUGUGGGCGACAUUCCACGUCGUCC
rnacentral:rRNA from 1 species